rnacentral:misc_RNA from 1 species
AAAUGCGAUAAGUAAUGUGAAUUGCAGAAUUCAGUGAAUCAUCGAAUCUUUGAACGCACCUUGCGCUCCUUGGUAUUCCUUGGAGCGUGCCUGUUUGAGUAUCAUGAAAUCUUCAAAGUAAAUCUUUUGUUAACUCAAUUGGUUUCUACUUUGGUAUUGGAGGUCUUUGCAGCUUCACACCUGCUCCUCUUUGUUCAUUAGCUGGAUCUCAGUGUUAUGCUUGGUUCCACUCGGCGUGAUAAGUUAUCUAUCGCUGAGGACACUGUAAAAGGUGGCCAAGGUAAAUGCAGAUGAACCGCUUCUAAUAGUCCAUUGACUUGGACAAUACUUUUAUGAUCUGAUCUCAAAUCAGGUAGGACUACCCGCUGAACUUAAGC